UACGUAGGGGGCGAGCGUUGUCCGGAAUGACUGGGCGUAAAGGGCGUGUAGGCGGUCUGAUAAGUAUGGAGUGAAAGUCCUGGAUUCAAUUUGGGAAUUGCUUUGGAUACUGUCGGACUUGAGUGCGGAAGAGGUAAGUGGAAUUCCCAGUGUAGCGGUGAAAUGCGUAGAGAUUGGGAGGAACACCAGUGGCGAAGGCGACUUACUGGGCCGUAACUGACGCUGAGGCGCGAAAGCGUGGGGAGCGAACAGG
rnacentral:rRNA from 1 species